rnacentral:rRNA from 1 species
GCAUAUCAAUAAGCGGAGGAAAAAGAAACCAACAGGGAUUGCCUCAGUAACGGCGAGUGAAGCGGCAACAGCUCAAAUUUGAAAUCUGGCCGCAAGGUCCGAGUUGUAAUUUGCAGAGGAUGCUUUUGGUGAGGUGCUUUCCGAGUUCCCUGGAACGGGACGCCAUAGAGGGUGAGAGCCCCGUACGGUUACGCACCGAGCCUCUGUAAAGCUCCUUCGACGAGUCGAGUAGUUUGGGAAUGCUGCUCUAAAUGGGAGGUGUACGUCUUCUAAAGCUAAAUACCGGCCAGAGACCGAUAGCGCACAAGUAGAGUGAUCGAAAGAUGAAAAGCACUUUGAAAAGAGGGUUAAAAAGUACGUGAAAUUGUUGAAAGGGAAGCAUUUAUGACCAGACUUGGGCAUGGUUGAACAUCCGGCGUUCUCGCCGGUGCACUCUGCCAGCCCAGGCCAGCAUCAGUUUGCCCCGGGGGAUAAAGGCGGCGGGAAUGUAGCUCUCUCCGGGGAGUGUUAUAGCCCGUCGUGCAAUGCCCUGGGGCGGACUGAGGAACGCGCUUCGGCACGGAUGCUGGCGUAAUGGUCAUCAAUGACCCGUCUUGAAACACGGACCAAGGAGUCGUCUUCGUAUGCGAGUGUUCGGGUGUCAAACCCCUACGCGUAAUGAAAGUGAACUAGGUGAGAGCUUCGGCGCAUCACCGACCGAUCCUGAUGUUCUCGGAUGGAUUUGAGUAAGAGCAUACGGGGCCGGACCCGAAAGAAGGUGAACUAUGCCUGUGUAGGGUGAAGCCAGAGGAAACUACUGGUGGAGGCUCGCAGCGGUUCUGACGUGCAAAUCGAUCGUCAAACAUGGGGCAUGGGGGCGAAAGACUAAUCGAACCUUCUAGUAGCUGGUUUCCGCCGAAGU